CCUUACUGACGCUAAUGCUCGAAGGUGCGGGUAUCGAACAGGAUUAGAUACCCUGGUAGUCCGCACGGUAAACGAUGGAUGCCCGCUGUUGGCGAUAUACUGUCAGCGGCCAAGUGAAAGCGUUAAGCAUCCCACCUGGGGAGUACGCUGGCAACGGUGAAACUCAAAGGAAUUGACGGGGGCCCGCACAAGCGGAGGAACAUGUGGUUUAAUUCGAUGAUACGCGAGGAACCUUACCCGGGCUUGAACUGUAGGCGAACGAUUCAGAGAUGAUGAGGCCCUUCGGGGCGCCUAUGGAGGUGCUGCAUGGUUGUCGUCAGCUCGUGCCGUGAGGUGUCGGCUUAAGUGCCAUAACGAGCGCAACCCUUUUCCCCAGUUGCCAUCAGGUCGUGCUGGGCACUCUGGAGACACUGCCACCGUAAGGUGUGAGGAAGGUGGGGAUGACGUCAAAUCAGCACGGCCCUUACGUCCGGGGCUACACACGUGUUACAAUGGGUGGUACAGAGAGUUGGUUGUAUGCAAAUGCGACCUAAUCCUUAAAGCCAUCCUCAGUUCGGAUUGGGGUCUGCAACCCGACCCCAUGAAGCUGGAUUCGCUAGUA
rnacentral:rRNA from 1 species